rnacentral:tRNA from 1 species
AAAAGAUUAGACUAUACACAAGUCAUAAGAUUCAUAAUCUUAAAAAUAAACUUUUA